UGGGGAAUUGUUCACAAUGGGCGCAAGCCUGAUGACGCAACGCCGCGUGGGGGAUGAAGGUCUUCGGAUUGUAAACCCCUGUCGAAUGGGACGAAAGACUCGCGAGUUAAUACUUCGCGGGAGUGACGGUACCGUUAAAGGAAGCCACGGCUAACUCUGUGCCAGCAGCCGCGGUAAUACAGAGGUGGCAAGCGUUGUUCGGAAUUACUGGGCGUAAAGGGCGCGUAGGCGGCCUACUAAGUCAGACGUGAAAUCCCCCGGNUUAACCUGGGAACUGCGUCUGAUACUGGAAGGCUUGAGUAUGGGANAGGGAUGUAGAAUUUCAGGUGUAGCGGUGAAAUGCGUAGAUAUCUGGAGGAAUACCGGUGCGAAGGCGGCA
rnacentral:rRNA from 1 species